rnacentral:rRNA from 1 species
UGGGAGUGUGAGCGUACCCGGAGAAAAAGCAUCGGCUAACUCCGUGCCAGCAGCCGCGGUAAUACGGAGGAUGCGAGCGUUAUCCGGAUUUAUUGGGUUUAAAGGGUGCGUAGGCGGCGAGUUAAGUCAGCGGUAAAAGCCCGGGGCUCAACCCCGGCCCGCCGUUGAAACUGGCUGGCUUGAGUUGGGGAAAGGCAGGCGGAAUGCGCGGUGUAGCGGUGAAAUGCAUAGAUAUCGCGCAGAACCCCGAUUGCGAAGGCAGCCUGCCGGCCCCACACUGACGCUGAGGCACGAAAGCGUGGGUAUCGAAC